rnacentral:rRNA from 1 species
UACGGAGGGUGCAAACGUUGCUCGGAAUCACUGGGCGUAAAGGGCGCGUAGGCGGGGAGGUAAGUCGGGUGUGAAAUCCCUCGGCCCAACCGAGGAACUGCGCCCGAGACUGCUUCUCUUGAGUCCCGGAGAGGAAGGUGGAAUUCCCGGUGUAGCGGUGAAAUGUGUAGAGAUCGAGAGGAACACCGGUGGCGAAGGCGGCCUUCUGGACGGUGACUGACGCUGAGGCGCGAAAGCGUGGGGAGCAAACAGG